rnacentral:lncRNA from 1 species
UUCUGAAAAGGGUAAGUUUUGUUUCCGGUCUAGUUUCUAGAACACUAGUUGAAUCACACCAUUUAAAAAUUUAAACCGGAAGAUAACAUUUUCAGGUACAAGAACAUUGAGGAGGAACUGGUGUCAAUGCUGCAUAUAGCAAUGGUUUGUGUAGUGCCACAGCCUGAGAAGAGGCCAACAAUGGGUGAAGUGGUUAAAAUGAUAGAGGAAAUAAGGGUGGAGCAAUCUCCAAUGGGAGAAGACUAUGAUGAAUCUCGAAAUUCCCUCUCCCCUUCACUUGCCACAACUGAUCAAGAUGCAUUGCCCUAACUCUAUAUUCUAGUUGGACAAGUAAUAUUCUGGUUUGCCAAUUCCAUUGCUUAUGGUAUGGACUGAGGACUUCCUUUUGAUUUUGAAUUAUAAUGUAAUUUAAUUUCUCUUUCAAGUGCUCAGUCACUUGCAGAUCAUGUUGAAUCAUGUUAAAUUUAGGGAUUGAAAUUGCGAUACCAACAUGUCGUGUUCGUGUCAAAGGAGUGUAUGUGAUCUACCACUAUAAGUAUUUAUUAGAAUUUAAAAAGAAUAUCUGUGCAAUAGUUCUUCUUAAACGUAAUCAAGUUGUUU